UGACACAGGUGCUGCAUGGCUGUCGUCAGCUCGUGUCGUGAGAUGUUGGGUUAAGUCCGUACGAGCGCAACCCUGUCCUUAGUUACCAGCACGUUAUGGUGGGCACUCUAAGGAGACUGCCGGUGACAACCGGAAGGGAAGGUGGGGGAGUGACGUCAAGUCAUCAUGGCCCUUACGGCCUGGGCUACACACGUGCUACAAUGGUCGGUACAAAGGGUUGCCAAGCCGCGAGGUGGAGCUAAUCCCAUAAAACCGAUCGUAGUCCGGAUCGCAGUCUGCAACUCGACUGCGUGAAGUCGGAAUCGCUAGUAAUCGUGAAUCAGAAUGUCACGGUGAAUACGUUCCCGGGCCUU
rnacentral:rRNA from 1 species